rnacentral:tRNA from 1 species
UGCCCGAUCGUCUAAUGGCAGGACCGCUGUUUUUGGUGCAGCUUGUGGAGGUUCGAAUCCUUCUCGGGCAA